rnacentral:rRNA from 1 species
UAGGGAAUCUUCCGCAAUGGACGCAAGUCUGACGGAGCAACGCCGCGUGAGUGAAGAAGGUCUUCGGAUCGUAAAGCUCUGUUGUUAGAGAAGAACAGCGCAUAGAGUAACUGUUAUGCGUGUGACGGUAUCUAACCAGAAAGCCACGGCUAACUACGUGCCAGCAGCCGCGGUAAUACGUAGGUGGCGAGCGUUGUCCGGAUUUAUUGGGCGUAAAGGGAGUGUAGGCGGUCUUUUAAGUCUGAUGUGAAAGCCCACGGCUCAACCGUGGAGGGUCAUUGGAAACUGGGAGACUUGAGUGCAGAAGAGGAGAGCGGAAUUCCAUGUGUAGCGGUGAAAUGCGUAGAUAUAUGGAGGAACACCAGUGGCGAAGGCGGCUCUCUGGUCUGUAACUGACGCU